rnacentral:misc_RNA from 1 species
GCCCUAUUGUGACCUGGAGGGCACAGCUGCAAUCAACAGAAACAACACAUUAAUGGCUGCAUAAUAACCCUCUUUAGAUCCUGCAAUGCAGAAGCUUCAUGCACUACGACACUGUUUCUAUAAUCCAAAUGCAGCAUGAUGGCAUGACAUUAUUCACCAAUUAGAAUAAGACUUGCACUAUUACCCAAGCUAGAAAUGUCAAAAUUAAGCCUAGUGU